GAUCCUGGCUCAGGAUGAACGCUAGCUACAGGCUUAACACAUGCAAGUCGAGGGGCAGCAUGGUCUUAGCUUGCUAAGGCCGAUGGCGACCGGCGCACGGGUGAGUAACACGUAUCCAACCUGUCGUCUACUCUUGGACAGCCUUCUGAAAGGAAGAUUAAUACAAGAUGGCAUCAUGAGUCCGCACUGUUCACAUGAUUAAAGGUAUUCCGGUUAGACGAUGGGGA
rnacentral:rRNA from 1 species